rnacentral:rRNA from 1 species
CCUACGGGAGGCAGCAGUGGGGAAUUUUGGACAAUGGGGGAAACCCUGAUCCAGCAAUGCCGCGUGUGUGAAGAAGGCCUUCGGGUUGUAAAGCACUUUUAUUCGGAGAGAAAUCCCUUGGGCUAAUACCCUGAGGGUCUGACGGUACCGGAUGAAUAAGCGCCGGCUAACUACGUGCCAGCAGCCGCGGUAAUACGUAGGGCGCGAGCGUUAAUCGGAAUUACUGGGCGUAAAGCGUGCGCAGGCGGUUUUGUAAGACAGAUGUGAAAGCCCCGGGCUCAACCUGGGAAUUGCAUUUGUGACUGCAAGGCUAGAGUGUGUCAGAGGGAGGUGGAAUUCCGCGUGUAGCAGUGAAAUGCGUAGAGAUGCGGAGGAACACCGACGGCGAAGGCAGCCUCCUGGGAUAACACUGACGCUCAUGCACGAAAGCGUGGGGAGCAAACAGGAUUAGAUACCCUGGUAGUCCACGCCCUAAACGAUGUCAACUAGUUGUCGGGAAUUAAAUUCUUGGUAACGCAGCUAACGCGUGAAGUUGACCGCCUGGGGAGUACGGCCGCAAGGUUAAAACUCGAAAGGAAUUGACGG